rnacentral:sRNA from 1 species
GUUUGCACUCAUCGGGGAAGGGUGAGAACCUUCGACUAAGGUUCGAUUCGAGCGAAAGCGAGAGAACGUUGCCACAGGCAACGGCCCGAAGGGUGAGGAGCGAAGCGACGAAUAAUCCUUCCCCUACCACCA